CAUCCUAUCAGCUGCUCUCUCUGCUCACAUCUGCUGUGUGUUUCCUCAGCGGCUCGUCCUGCGUCUCUGUGUCUGGCUCCUAAAGCAGCCAUCAGCUCUUCUUCCUCCUCUCUGAGGAAGAGCUCCAGCUCCACGCUGCCCUCCUCACCCUCCUCCAGGAACUACAGCCCAGCGCCCGGCGCAAAGAGGACUCCUGCUGCAAACACUGAAGACACUCAGAGCACUAAAGCAAAGACGAGCUGCUGCAGGAAAGCACUGGAGAUCAAACCAAAGGAAACAAGUGCAGCAAAAACAGGCUCCAGACGAGUCUCUCACUGCAAAGAUCUCUCUGUCCGGAAGGACUGGGUCAGCUGAAUCCGCAGUCAAAGCAUUCGUCCAGAAGCCCUCGCUCCGGGACGCCCCGAAACACAAGAGUCCCAUCAAAUCCCCCAGUCAAUACUUCCAGAUCUGUUACUGAAGAGCCGGCUCUCACACAUUAGUGAUCACUUUCUGGAGAACUGAAGAAGUGCAGAUGCACACCAGAACACGGGCUCGCUGCAGGAAGCCUUGCUAUGGACGCAGUGUAUUUUAGUUAAAAACGUCUUAAUGCUGGGUUUGUUCUUAGUUGUAUUUGGUGCCGA
rnacentral:lncRNA from 1 species